rnacentral:rRNA from 1 species
CCUACGGGAGGCAGCAGUGAGGAAUAUUGGUCAAUGGGCGCGAGCCUGAACCAGCCAAGUCGCGUGAGGGAAGACGGUCCUAUGGAUUGUAAACCUCUUUGGUCGGGGAGCAAAAGACGCCACGCGUGGCGUUCCGAGAGUACCCGAAGAAAAAGCAUCGGCUAACUCCGUGCCAGCAGCCGCGGUAAUACGGAGGAUGCGAGCGUUAUCCGGAUUUAUGGGGUUUAAAGGGUUCGCAGGCGGAAGAUCAAGCCAGCGGUAAAAUUGGGAGGCCCAACCUCUUCGAGCCGUUGAAACUGGUUUUCUUGAGUGAGUGAGAAGUAUGCGGAAUGCGUGGUGUAGCGGUGAAAUGCAUAGAUAUCACGCAGAACUCCGAUUGCGAAGGCAGCAUACCGGCGCUCAACUGACGCUCAUGCACGAAAGUGUGGGUAUCGAACAGGAUUAGAUACCCUUGUAGUC